rnacentral:rRNA from 1 species
GACGAACGCUGGCGGCGUGCUUAACACAUGCAAGUCGAGCGACGCUCUUCCUUCGGGGAGAUGACGGAGCGGCGAACGGGUGAGUAACACGUGGGCAACCUGCCCCUAGCUCUGGGUCAACACCGGGAAACCGGUGCUAAUACCGGAUACGACAUCGAGCGGCAUCUCUCGAUGUGGAAAGUUUUUUCGGCUAGGGAUGGGCCCGCGGCCUAUCAGCUUGUUGGUGGGGUAAUGGCCCACCAAGGCGACGACGGGUAGCCGGCCUGAGAGGGCGACCGGCCACACUGGGACUGAGACACGGCCCAGACUCCUACGGGAGGCAGCAGUGGGGAAUAUUGCGCAAUGGGCGAAAGCCUGACGCAGCGACGCCGCGUGAGGGAUGACGGCCUUCGGGUUGUAAACCUCUUUCAGCAGGGACGAAUUCAGACGGUACCUGCAGAAGAAGCACCGGCCAACUACGUG